GACGAACACUGGCGGCGCGCUUAACACAUGCCAGUCGAACGGAAAGGCCUGCUUUCCCUUGUGGAUUGCGGGUACUCGAGUGGCGAACGGGUGAGUAACACGUGAGUGAUCUGCCCCCAACUUGGGUAUAAGCCUGGGAAACUGGGUCUAAUUCCCGAUAGGACUGCAGGGUGGUGCCUGUGGUGGAAAACGAUUUUCUAGUGGUUGGGGAUGAGCUCGCGGCCUAUCAGCUUGUUGGUGGGGUAAUGGCCUACCAAGGCGGCGACGGGUAGCCGGCCUGGGAGGGUGGACGGCCAAAUUGGGACUGAGAUACGGCCCAGACUCCGACGGGAGGCAGCAGUGGGGAAUAUUGCACAAUGGGCGGAAGCCUGAUGCAGCGACGCCGCGUGGGGGAUGACGGCCUUCGGGUUGUAAACUCCUUUCGACCGCGAGGAAGCCACCUGGUUGGAAGGGUGGUGACGGUAGUGGUAGAAGAAGCACCGGCUAACUACGUG
rnacentral:rRNA from 1 species